CAAAGAGCAAGCACCACUCGCUAGUAGGAGAUCUCUAGUCAACAAAUACCUUCUUUCAAUUCGAGAGCCUAUCGGAAAGGUUUUUCGAUCUGAACGACUUGUUGUUGAUCCAGAGGAUGACAUCUACUACAUAUGGAUGGGUGUAAUUGCAGCUACGGUCAUCUACAACUUUUGUACCGUCAUUCUUAGAAUCGCUUUCACAGAAUCAUCGGAAGAGUCUCUCUCUAGACUCCUUUUCUGGUGGGGAGAUGUUUUUGCAGAUGGAUUGUAUGCCUGUGACGUGUGCGUGCAACUAAGAACUGCUUAUCGAGAUGAUCAGGGAAUUAUGGUUAAGGAUCCUGUACAAUUAUCAGAGACGUAUACAAAGAAGAGACGAUUUAAAGUUGAUAUUAUCUGCCUUCUACCCCUGGAAACAGUUUCCCGUGUGAUAUUUUUUCCCUGUCAUUUUUCGCUGUUCCGAUUACCCAGACUUCUCAAAUGGCAUUCAGUAGAAACAUUUUUCCUUAUGAGUGACUACCGAACCAGUAAACCAAACCGCCUGCGGGCUUCCAAACUGAUUCUGUACUUGAGUGUGGCCAUGCAUUGGGUUGCUUGCUUAUACUACGCCAUCUCUGAGUAUGAAGGACUGGGGACUAAUGACUGGGUGUACACAGAAACCGUGAAAAGCGGUGAUCCACUCUCCAGGAAGUACGUGAAAUCCUUUUAUUGGUCUGUCCUUACUUUGAUGACAAUUGGAGAAACGCCAAGUCCCCAGACAAAUCUUGAAUAUAUUUUCACUGGCUGUAUGUUUCUCCUGGGAAUCUUUGUGUUUGCCACAGUUGUGGGCAACGUUGGUGACGUCAUUAGCAACAUGAAUGCGGCGAGAACUAAUUUUCAAGCGAGGAUGGAUGCAAUCAAGCAGUACAUGGAGCAUCACAAUGUACCUCACAUGCUACAAACUCGGGUCAAAAGAUGGGCUCAUUACGCAUGGAGCAGGACACAAGCCCUAGACGAAGGGGCGUCUUUGGAAAUGCUCCCUGAGAGAUUAAGAACUGAGAUAGCCAUUCAUGUGCACCUAGACACGUUGCGAAAGGUGAAGAUCUUCAAGGACUGCGAACAAGGCCUGCUAUGUGAAUUGGUACUAAAACUUCGACCGCAAAUUUUUUCCCCUGGAGACUAUAUCUGUCGUUGUGGUGAAAUAGGACGGGAAAUGUAUAUUAUCAACAACGGAAAAGUUGAGGUAGUAAUACCAGACUCAAACACUGGCGAGGAGGUUGUGGUAGCUUCCCUCACAGAGGGUAACUAUUUCGGGGAGAUAAGCCUGUUAAGACUCGACGCCGGUAAAAACAGACGCUCUGCCGAUGUGCGCUCAGUGGGUUACUCGGAAUUGUUGUGUCUCUCUCAAAAGGACCUAAUGGAGGCCUUAGAGGAGUAUCCUGAAGCUAAAAAAGUACUAGAAAGUCAAGGGCGAGACAGAUUACAGAGGGCAAGGUCGAGUAACAAUCUCUCAAUACCCCAUCCUGAUUCAGAGAGAGAACAAUUUCGUAAUCUAGAAUUCAACUUCGCGAGGGAAAUCAGCAUCGUCAAAGAACUCUGGGAGGAAAUUAAAGAAAGCAAAAAGGAGUUCUAUAAAUGCGAGCCAGUAAGGAGUCUCAGAGAAGAGGUACCAUCUCAGCAUUUCGUCAGAUUUCCUUGGCAGUUUGCCUGUACCCAUUUAUAAUCCUGGGUGGAGAAAUGCAAUGUGAUAAGAAGUGGCUGGGGAUCUAACUUUGUCCCAGACCUUUCGAUUAAAAGGCCACCGCGCCUCCUACAGAUUGCAUGAUGAGUGCCUAAACUUGAGGGUUCAAAUAGAGACGCAAAUGGAGGAAAUAGAAGAAAUUAAACAACAGCUCGCACUGCGAAGUAGAUCACCAAAUGACGAAAAGAGCCGAAGAAGGUCAAGUGCAG
rnacentral:misc_RNA from 1 species